rnacentral:misc_RNA from 1 species
AUAAAUAAAAAAAUAAUAAAUUUUUUAAAAUAUAUAUAAAACAAUAAAACGAACAUGAACAUAAAUAAAUAUAAAAAUUUGCAAAUAUUUUUUAUAUAUUCCUGUUUUAUAUUUGCAAAUCUGAUUAAAAACAUUCAGGCGGAUGAAACAAAUAUUGUGCUUCUGUUCGAAAAUGAUAAUAACGACAUGGAAAAAAUCUUUCAAAUAGCCAUUGCCAAAGCAAAUGAAGAGAAUUCUGAGUUAAAUUUCAAUGGAAUUACUGUUGCUAUUGAACCGAAUAAUGCAUUUGAGACCUCUAGAAAAUUAUGUAAAACAUUAAGGGAAAAUCAAGUAAUUGCUGUAUUUGGUCCGACUACCAGCAUGGCUGCCAAGCACGCUAUGAGUGUUUGUGAUGCCAAAGAGUUGCCCUUCAUUGAUACACGUUGGGAUUUUGGUGCACAAUUACCAACCAUUAAUCUACACCCGCAUCCCACACAGUUAGCGGCGAUCUUAAAAGAUUUAGUUACAACUUUAGGUUGGGAUGGUUGCUUCACAAUAAUUUAUGAAUCAGGCGAAUAUCUUUCCAUGGUUACUGAACUGUUGCAAAUGUAUGGCACUUCGGGUCCCACCAUUGUGGUGCGUCGCUAUGAGCUAGAUUUGAAUGGCAAUUACCGUAAUGUUUUGCGUCGUAUUAAAAAUUCUGGUGAUACAUCGUUUGUGGUUGUUGGCUCAUUGGCCACUUUGCCAGAACUUUUUAAGCAGGCCCAACAAGUUGGCCUAAUGACGGGCUCUUAUCGUUAUAUUAUUGGUAAUUUGGAUUUACAAACUAUGGACUUGGAGCCGUAUCAACAUGGUGAUACUAACAUUACGGGUAUACGUCUGGUUUCGCCAAAGGAAGAUAAUGUUAUAGAAGUUGCUAAAAUCUUAUACGAAUCGGAGGAACCAUUUCAAAACAUAUCAUGUCCUUUGACCGUCAACAUGGCUCUUGUUUACGAUGGCGUACAACUUUUGGCUGAGACAUUUAAACAUGUCAUGUUUCAGGCAGUUCCUUUAAAUUGUAACGAUGCCAGCUCUUGGGAUAAAGGAUACACUCUAGUCAAUUAUAUGAAGUCGUUAAAUAUGGCUGGUCUUACGGGUGAUAUAAAGUUUGAUUAUCAAGGUUUAAGAACAGAAUUUUCACUUGAAAUUGUUGAAUUGGCAGUAUCGGGUUUGCAAACAAUUGGCACUUGGAAAAGCGAUGAAGGUAUAACGAUUGAUCGUCCAGCUCCAGCAGUAUCUAUGGAACAGGAUCAUCGUUCAUUGGUCAAUAAAAGUUUUGUGGUGAUAACAGCUAUUAGUGAACCCUAUGGCAUGCUGAAAGAUGUACCCAAUAAAUUAGAAGGCAACGAUCAAUAUGAGGGAUUUGGCAUAGAACUUAUUGAAGAAUUGGGUAAAAAAUUGGGUUUUUCAUACACAUUUCGUUUACAAGAGGAUGGUAAAUAUGGCAAUUUAGAUUCGAAAACCAACUCCUGGAAUGGUAUGAUUUUGGAAAUCAUGGAAGGGCGUGCUGAUUUGGGUAUAACCGAUUUGACCAUGACAUCUGAUCGAGAAAGUGCGGUAGAUUUUACCAUUCCUUUCAUGAAUCUCGGUAUUGCCAUUUUAUUUCGCAAACCCAUGAAGGAACCACCCAAACUCUUCUCCUUUAUGUCACCAUUUUCCGGAGAAGUAUGGCUAUGGUUGGGUCUAGCAUAUGUUGCCGUCUCCUUGAGUAUGUUUAUAUUGGGCCGCAUAUCACCACCCGAAUGGGAUAAUCCGUAUCCUUGCAUAGAAGAGCCUACCGAACUUGAGAACCAAUUUACAUUUAUUAAUUGCUUUUGGUAUGCUGUUGGUACACUUUUGCAACAAGGUUCGGAAUUAGCACCAAAAGGAUUUUCAACACGUGCUGCUGCCUCAUUUUGGUCGUUCUUUACAUUGAUUCUGGUGUCUUCGUAUACAGCCAACUUGGCUGCAUUUUUAACGGUCGAAUCAUUAAGCACACCUAUUGAGAAUGUUGAGGAUUUGGCUGCUAACAAAGGUGGUGUUAACUAUGGUGCUAAAAUUGGUGGCAGUACAUUUACAUUUUUCAAGGAUGCAAAAUUUCCAACUUAUCAAAAAAUGUACGAGUUUAUGUCAAGUCAUCCGGAGUAUAUGACAUCUUCAAAUGCUGACGGUGUUACACGCGUCGAAGAGGAAAACUAUGCCUUUUUAAUGGAAUCCACAACUAUUGAAUAUAUCACAGAACGACGAUGCAGUCUAACACAAGUUGGUUCAUUAUUGGAUGAAAAAGGAUAUGGUAUUGCUAUGCGUAAAAAUUGGCCUUAUCGUGACAUACUCAGUCAAGCUGUAUUGGAAUUGCAGGAACAAGGUGUUUUAACAAAAAUGAAAACAAAAUGGUGGCAGGAAAAACGAGGUGGUGGCGCUUGUGCGAAAUUUGUUAAACGUGCUUUAUACUAUAAAUAAACAAUUUUAAUUUUAAUAUUUCUUCAAAAUCACACACAUUUCAACUCUACACAAGUUUUGAAGGUUGUUGUUUUAAAUAAAGGCGAGAAAUACAUUUUUGGAAUUUGAAAUUUUAUACCUUGAAUAAAAGGAGCCAAACAAAAUCCAGCACAAUAUUGGUGAAGAUGUUGAUGUUGUUGCUUGGUUACUUUGGUUGAUACUGUUGACACUUUACAACUUUUGUGGGUUCAUUGAUGGAACAAAUACACAGUUUUUAGUUAUUCGCCAGUCUCAACAGCUUUUAAAACGUGUUGUUGAAAAGUUUGUUACAAAAAAAAAAAAAAAAACAAAACUAACUAAA